rnacentral:lncRNA from 1 species
GGACGCCGCUCCGGGGCGGGUAGGGGAAAGGGAGAAAGUACAGAAGACAGAUGAAGGAGAGGAGGUAAGCGAGAAAAAAUGGAAAGGGGAGCCGGAAAUGGAGGAGAGAGGACAAGCAAAGAGACAGAAAUGAAGACAUGAGGAAAAGCUGGGGGAAGCAGGAGAGGAAGGGACGGGAUGUAGGAGGGGGAAGAAAAAUCGGAGAUGAGACAAAAGAAAUGUGUGGGAGACGGGUAGAGACGAAAUGCAAGGGGCGUGGUUUUGGUUUUUCUCCAAGACCUGGAGACAUCGACCCCCAUCGCCUUCUGAAGAGAGAGGGAGGGCGGGCACUGGGGGUCAGGAGAGUCUCCAGCAGGGGAGGGGAAUUGUUUGGACUAUUGUUCUUCAGGAUUGGAAUAAAACAAUCUUAUUUUGG